ensembl:lncRNA novel transcript
UGGACUCAAGGGCCACUAAGGUCAACUGUGAAAGGGCUGUAGCUCCCUAUGCCACCACCUCGAUGCCAGUCCCACUCCAACCAGUAAGAACCAGAGCAUCUACCCCACACUGGGCAUGGACACUGAAAGCCAAAACACCCUACUGUGUGUAUGAACCUCACUUGAUGUUAUUCCUGUCUUCAUCAGCACGACUUUAUUUUCCCAGGAGUCACCAUCAAGCCCAGGCAGAUGGCUUGAUAGUUCUUAUAGGAACUUCUGGAAAGACUCAUCUACUCUCUGAUGGAAAACAUCAACAGGUGCUGGUGAUGCUGGUGGCAGCUGUUGACACCAGGCACCACUUCUGAUAGCUGUCGGCUGUCCAGAUUUCAAAAAUCUCAUUGUUCUUGUCA